GCCUACGGGGGGCAGCAGUAGGGAAUCUUCCACAAUGGGCGAAAGCCUGAUGGAGCAACGCCGCGUGGGUGAAGAAGGUCUUCGGAUCGUAAAACCCUGUUGUUAGAGAAGAAAGUGCGUGAGAGUAACUGUUCACGUUUCGACGGUAUCUAACCAGAAAGCCACGGCUAACUACGUGCCAGCAGCCGCGGUAAUACGUAGGUGGCAAGCGUUAUCCGGAUUUAUUGGGCAUAAAGGGAACGCAGGCGGUCUUUUAAGUCUGAUGUGAAAGCCUUCGGCUUAACCGGAGUAGGGCAUUGGAAACU
rnacentral:rRNA from 1 species